CCUACGGGGAGGCAGCAGUGAGGAAUAUUGGUCAAUGGGCGCGAGCCUGAACCAGCCAAGUCGCGUGAGGGAAGACGGUCCUAUGGAUUGUAAACCUCUUUUUUCGGGGAGCAAAAGACGCCACGCGUGGCGUUCCGCGAGUACCCGAAGAAAAAGCAUCGGCUAACUCCGUGCCAGCAGCCGCGGUAAUACGGAGGAUGCGAGCGUUAGCCGGAUGUAUUGGGUUAAAAGGGUGCGCAGGCGGAAGAUGAAGUCAGCGGUAAAAUUUAGGGGCUCAACCUCUUCGAGCCGUUGAAACUGGUUUUCUUGAGUGAGUGAGAAGUAUGCGGAAUGCGUGGUGUAGCGGUGAAAUGCAUAGAUAGCACGCAAAACUCCGAUUGCGAAGGCAGCAUACCGGCGCUCAACUGACGCUCAUGCACGAAAGUGUGGGUAUCGAACAGGAUUAGAUACCCUAGUAGUC
rnacentral:rRNA from 1 species